ensembl:lncRNA
UUGUUGUAUUCUUACAUCCCCAAAUAGGUGCUGUAAUUGAUUCAGCUUAAAUAUCAAGAUCUCACUCCAGCCAGAUGACCACAGUUUGCACCCUUGAAAUACCUGUUGUUGUUAGCUGAUGUGUUUAUACAGUACAUCAGUGCAGGCUCACAAAAAAUUAAUGAACAACAAAAUCAAAUUCCUUAGUCAUAGCCAAACUCCAGAGUAAUGUAAACACGCUUCAUUAUGCUGAGUGAUGGUGGUAAUAUCAGCACUGCUGAGAGCUUUCAGAGGUCAUGACAGGUUUGGUGGCGUGUGUGCGUGUGUGUGUGUGUGAUUGACUCCUCUGGGUGUGAUGCUGUGUGAGCUUCUAAUCUUCAGCACUGCUAACAUGGGCAGAAACUGUGGUGAGCUCAGCCGUCCUGCUCACUCACAGCCGCUCCGUGCCUCUGGGACGAGUGAAAAUAUAUCUCCAGCGCUCUCCCACCGUCGCCAAUUUGCUGAAGCUAUGCAACAGAGCUCAUUGAACUUUGCAUGCAAUAUAUGAUAACCAGCUCGCUGUGGGAUUCAGAAUAGGCUUCAUUUCUUUGGUGCUUUUUUUGUGCUGAUGACACUGGCUUGUUUCGGGAUUGUUUGUUUGAAAUGUGUCCUUUUCCUCCAGGGGCUGGAAAGUGCUGAUGAACGCUGUCGUCCGGAGAGGUGCUGGCCUGAUGGGAUGAUGGGACGAUGGGACGGAGGAAUAAAGCGAGAGCAGUGUGGUGUUCUCAUCUCCUCAGAUCUCUGCAAAAAGGCAGUAUGACAGAGAUGAAUCCCUCCCUCUCCCGGACCCUCGUGCCCCCCCGAACUCCAGGCCCGCUGCUGGGGACGCCUUUGUUCACUUCCCUCCAUUAUGUGAGCCAUUACCACAGCUCUCCAUAUUUAAAUGCGCAUAUUGAUGACCCUAAAUAAAGAAAAUAUUAAUGAAAGUAUAACAAAGACAGAGUGAAAGAAGUUGUGAAUUUUUUUUUUUUUUUUGAAGGGAGAGAGGUGAAAAAGUUAUUCUGGAUAUUCUUCAAAGCCCCUCAGAAAGGAGAAAAGGGAAAAUGAGCUGUUUGGAAUAUUUUAAAUUUAAUAAGGCCAUGAGGUUUUACAGGGGAAAUAUGUAUUAUUGAAUCUACAUAAACAAAUAUGAAUGGAGAAGUUAAGGCUGGGAACUUUAGUUUGAAAAAUGGGCAAUUUGUGGAUUCACAUCUAGAUAUUUUGUCUGUGUUUUAUUUUAAUUUUUCAGUUCUUGGAGUUAUUGUUGUUUUCUUCCCUCUUAGGAAUAUUCCAGAAUCAAUGUAGUCUGUUUAUGUACACAGUUAAUCAUUUUGAUUCAUCCCUCAAAUAUUGUGUACAGUCAUGCACUUACAAUGGAUGUCUGUGGGGCAAGACGGUACACAGUGUUUAAAAUAAGUAUCUUAUAUGGAUUUUGCUAUACAAAGUUGUUACUUGAGUGUUUAAAU